rnacentral:misc_RNA from 1 species
UGUGGGAGCUGGCUUGCCUGCGAUGGCGAUGUGUCAGUGAGUACACGUUCGCCUGACACACUGCUAUCGCAGGCAAGCCAGCUCCCACA